rnacentral:rRNA from 1 species
GAUGAACGCUGGCGGCGUGCCUAAUACAUGCAAGUCGAGCGAACGGACGAGAAGCUUGCUUCUCUGAUGUUAGCGGCGGACGGGUGAGUAACACGUGGAUAACCUACCUAUAAGACUGGGAUAACUUCGGGAAACCGGAGCUAAUACCGGAUAAUAUUUUGAACCGCAUGGUUCAAAAGUGAAAGACGGUCUUGCUGUCACUUAUAGAUGGAUCCGCGCUGCAUUAGCUAGUUGGUAAGGUAACGGCUUACCAAGGCAACGAUGCAUAGCCGACCUGAGAGGGUGAUCGGCCACACUAGAACUGAGACGCGGUCCAGACUCCUACGGGAGGCAGCAGUAGGGAAUCGUCCGCAAUGGGCGAAAGCCUGACGGAGCAGCGCCGCGUGAGUGAUGAAGGUCUUCGGAUCGUAAAACUCUGUUAUUAGGGAAGAACAGAUGUGUAAGUAACUGUGCACAUCUUGACGGUACCGAAUCAGAAAGCCACGGCUAACUACGUG